rnacentral:hammerhead_ribozyme from 1 species
ACACUGUUGACGAGUCCCAAACAGGACGAAACAGUUCUCUCUGUCCAGUGC